rnacentral:rRNA from 1 species
UAGGGAAUCUUCCGCAAUGGGCGAAAGCCUGACGGAGCGACGCCGCGUGAGCGAAGAAGGCCGUCGGGUCGUAAAGCUCUGUUGUGAGGGACGAAGGAGCGCCGUUCGAAGAGGGCGGCGCGGUGACGGUACCUCACGAGGAAGCCCCGGCUAACUACGUGCCAGCAGCCGCGGUAAUACGUAGGGGGCGAGCGUUGGCCGGAAUUAUUGGGCGUAAAGCGCGCGCAGGCGGUUCCUUAAGUCUGAUGUGAAAGCCCACGGCUCAACCGUGGAGGGUCAUUGGAAACUGGGGGACUUGAGUGCAGGAGAGGAGAGCGGAAUUCCACGUGUAGCGGUGAAAUGCGUAGAGAUGUGGAGGAACACCAGUGGCGAAGGCGGCUCUCUGGCCUGCAACUGUCGCUGAGGCGCGAAAGCGUGGGGAGCAAACAGGAUUAGAUACCCUGGUAGACCACGCCGUAAACGAUGAGUGCUAAGUGUUAGAGGGGUCACACCCUUUAGUGCUGCAGCUAACGCGAUAAGCACUCCGCCUGGGGAGUACGG